GAAAUGCGAUACGUAAUAUGAAUUGCAGAUAUUCGUGAAUCAUCGAAUCUUUGAACGCACAUUGCGCCCUUUGGUAUUCCAAAGGGCAUGCCUGUUUGAGCGUCAUUUCUCCCUCAAACCCCCGGGUUUGGUGUUGAGCAAUACGCUAGGUUUGUUUGAAAGAAUUUAACGUGGAAACUUAUUUUAAGCGACUUAGGUUUAUCCAAAAACGCUUAUUUUGCUAGUGGCCACCACAAUUUAUUUCAUAACUUUGACCUCAAAUCAGGUAGGACUACCCGCUGAACUUAA
rnacentral:misc_RNA from 1 species